UACGUAGGGUGCAGGCGUUAAUCGGAAUUACUGGGCGUAAAGCGUGCGCAGGCGGUUUGCUAAGACAGGUGUGAAAUCCCCCGGGCUUAACCUGGGAACUGCGCUUGUUACUGGCAGGCUUGAGUGUGGCAGAGGGGGGUGGAAUUCCACGUGUAGCAGUGAAAUGCGUAGAGAUGUGGAGGAACACCGAUGGCGAAGGCAGCCCCCUGGGCUAACACUGACGCUCAUGCACGAAAGCGUGGGGAGCAAACAGG
rnacentral:rRNA from 1 species